UGUAACAGCAACUCCAUGUGGAC
rnacentral:miRNA from 12 species